rnacentral:rRNA from 1 species
UGGAUCCAGACUUUGAUCAUGGCUCAGGAUGAACGCUGGCGGCGUGCCUAACACAUGCAAGUCGAACGAAGCUUUUUAUGGAUUUCUUCGGAAUGAAGUAAGAAUGACUUAGUGGCGGACGGGUGAGUAAUGCGUGAGCAACCUGCCUUUCAGAGGGGGAUAACAGUUGGAAACGACUGCUAAUACCGCAUAACGUGCGAAGACCGCAUGGUCUUUGUACCAAAACUGAGGUGCUGAAAGAUGGGCUCACGUCCGAUUAGAUAGUUGGUGAGGUAACGGCUCACCAAGUCGACGAUCGGUAGCCGGACUGAGAGGUUGAACGGCCACAUUGGGACUGAGACACGGCCCAGACUCCUACGGGAGGCAGCAGUGGGGAAUAUUGCACAAUGGGCGAAAGCCUGAUGCAGCAACGCCGCGUGAGGGAAGACGGUCUUCGGAUUGUAAACCUCUGUCUUUAGUGAAGAAGACAGUGACGGUAGCUAAAGAGGAAGCCACGGCUAACUACGUGCCAGCAGCCGCGGUAAUACGUAGGUGGCAAGCGUUAUCCGGAAUUACUGGGUGUAAAGGGAGCGCAGGCGGGACUGCAAGUUGGAUGUGAAAUACCGCAGCUUAACUGCGGAGCUGCAUCCAAAACUGUAGUUCUUGAGUGAAGUAGAGGUAGGCGGAAUUCCGAGUGUAGCGGUGAAAUGCGUAGAUAUUCGGAGGAACACCGGUGGCGAAGGCGGCCUACUGGGCUUUUACUGACGCUGAGCCUCGAAAGUGUGGGGAGCAAACAGGAUUAGAUACCCUGGUAGUCCACACUGUAAACGAUGAUUGCUAGGUGUGGGGAGUAUUGACCCUCUCUGUGCCGGAGUUAACGCAAUAAGCAAUCCACCUGGGGAGUACGGCCGCAAGGUUGCAACUCAAAGGAAUUGACGGA